rnacentral:lncRNA from 1 species
CUUGAAUUGGAGAGGAAGAGGUUGCAAUCCCGUAAUACUGGACAGUGAGGAUUCCUUUUUGUUGGGCUGAGGUAUUCUUUGGAUCGGUGUCCUGCUGAGGAAACAAAUACCAAAGGCUUUAGCAAAAUGGCCAUACAAGUAGCAUCCUACUUGAGCAAAGAUGUAUUGUAUCUCUACAUCUGUUAGAGAUUUUGACUUGGGAAAAUUUUAGUGACGGGAGUUGCUCUAUCCCUCACCCCCGUCCCCAAAGAAAAUACAAGUUUUUUUUUUCAUUUGCCUGUAACAGUGAGGUAAUUUAAUGUGCCAUAUUAAGAUUACAAGAUUGUUAACUUAAGGAAAUGGUGUCUUCAAGUAGAAACACAGCUUUGGGGGUGAGGAUGUGAUGAAGUUAUUUUUAUCUAAUCAAAAUUUGUUUUCUUUGAUUU